UCCCCCCCCCAAAAAACCCCCCCAAAAAUUUUUCCUUUUUUUUUUUGGGUUUUUUUUGGGGGGGAAAAAAAUUUUUCCCCAAAAUUUUAAAAAAUUUUUGUAAAAAAAAUUUUUUUUGGGGGGUUUAAAA